GAUGAACGCUGGCGGCGUGCCUAAUACAUGCAAGUCGAGCGAAGCGGGGGCAGGUGAGUAACAGGGAGUUAACCUCCUUUACGUCUGGGAUAACUUCGGGUAACCGGAGGUAAACCGGCUACUUGUAGAUGGAUCCUCGCUGCAUUAGCUAGUUGGUAAGGUAACGGCUUACCAAGGCAACGAUGCAUAGCCGACCUGAGAGGGUGAUCGGCCACACUGGAACUGAGACACGGCCCAGACUCCUACGGGAGGCAGCAGUAGGGAAUCUUCCGCAAUGGGCGAAAGUCUGACGGAGCCACGCCGCGUGAGUGAUGAAGGUCUUCGGAUCGUAAAACUCUGUUAUUAGGGAAGCGGUACCUAACCAGAAAGCCACGGCUAACUACGUGCCAGCAGCCGCGGUAAUAC
rnacentral:rRNA from 1 species